GGUUGUAGCUCAGUGGUAGAGCACUUGCCUAGCAUGUGUGAAGCACUGGGUUCGAUUCUCAGCACCA
rnacentral:tRNA from 2 species